UUUCCUAUGGCUCAGUCUGUAGAGCACUGCACUAGCAACACACAGGUUGCAGGUUCAAACCCCAGGAAAA